rnacentral:tRNA from 1 species
GUCCCCAUCGUCUAGAGGCCUAGGACACCAGCCUUUCACGCUGGUAACACGGGUUCGAAUCCCGUUGGGGACGCCA